GAGGGAGGGGGUCGACAGUUGGCGACAAUAGGCAAGCUAACAAUAAGGUAGCGGGAGGCAGGCUUCAAGAUCUCUACGAUGUUUUAUUCAUUCUCUUAUUUUAUUUUUUAUCUAUAAUUUUUUUUCAAAGUUUGUAUAUAUUUUUUAAUCUUUAUACAAAGUUUUUUUUAACAUAUUUGUACAAAAUGUUCCAUACAAAGUUUUUGCGAAAUAUUUUUUCCUAGAUUUUCUUAAACAACUUUGGAUUACUUUGGAUAUUAUUUUUGAAGACAUUUUUUAAUUCUUUUAAUUUUUUUCUAAAAUUUGCUGUUAACGUUUUCUUGUAAAGUAUUUUUGUCAAAUUUUUUGUAUACAAUAUAUUUUUUGUAUGUUCAUUUUUUUAAAAAAAUUGUAAUAUUUUCAUGGAUUGAUUUACUUUUCUAGAAA
rnacentral:lncRNA from 1 species